UACGUAGGGUGCAAGCGUUAAUCGGAAUUACUGGGCGUAAAGCGUGCGCAGGCGGUUAGCUAAGACCGAUGUGAAAUCCCCGGGCUUAACCUGGGAACUGCAUUGGUGACUGGCGGGCUAGAGUAUGGCAGAGGGGGGUAGAAUUCCACGUGUAGCAGUGAAAUGCGUAGAGAUGUGGAGGAAUACCGAUGGCGAAGGCAGCCCCCUGGGCCAAUACUGACGCUCAUGCACGAAAGCGUGGGGAGCAAACAGG
rnacentral:rRNA from 1 species